rnacentral:sRNA from 1 species
AAGAAAGUGACCCCCGCCCCGGGGAGGGGCGAGCCAAAUAGACCGACACGAAAACAAGCUUCCCGACAAAAAAAGGCUUACUGUCCCGCGACAGUCAUUC